rnacentral:rRNA from 1 species
GCCUACGCAAGUAGUGAGGAAGGCGGGGAUGACGUCAAAUCAGCACGGCCCUUACGUCCAGGGCUACACACGUGCUACAAUGGCCGAUACAGAGGGCAGCUACCUGGUGACAGGAUGCAAAUCUCCAAAGUCGGUCUCAGUUCGGAUCGGAGUCUGCAACCCGACUCCGUGAAGUUGGAUUCGCUAGUAAUCGCGCAUCAGCCAUGGCGCGGUGAAUACGUUCCCGGGCCUU